GACGAACCGUGCGAACGUUAUUCGGAAUCACUGGGCUUAAAGCGCGUGUAGGCGGGCCGCCGCGUCGGCUGCUGAAAUCCCCCGGCUCAACCGGGGAACGGGCACCGAUACGGGCGGCCUCGAGGGGGGUAGGGGGACCUGGAACUUCCGGUGGAGCGGUGAAAUGCGUUGAGAUCGGAAGGAACGCCCGUGGCGAAAGCGACGUGCUGGACCUCUUCUGACGCUGAGGCGCGAAAGCCAGGGGAGCAAACGGG
rnacentral:rRNA from 1 species